GGUCAAAAGAAAGCUCUUUAUUGAUUGACUCAGCAAUGCAGGGCUGGCACCCAUCAGCUUCAAACCACAUCUUAUCGCAUCCACUCCUGUCCACUCCCGUCCACUUUGCCCUCUUCCAGGCUGAAAUCUUGCUUUCAGGCAAGGGCUUCCGGCCAGCCUUGCAUUAGUUCUCAGCUAUGGUCUUCUGAACCCAGUCCUGGAUGGAAGUCACCUUCACAUACACACCAUACUCAGCCACAGCACAGCUCUUAUCAAAGCUUAAGAUCCCAGUCGCAUACCAGGUGUCCUCCUCCAGGUCGUGAACGGCAAAGGCACUGCCCGCAUCGCCAUAGCAGGUGUCUUCUUGGUACUUAGACAUGCCAGCACAGAAGGUGUGUUCAUUCAGUAUGGGCUGCACCCCUACAGGGCUCUUCGGUGUCUUCUUUUCGGGGACUGUGCUGCCUUCAUAAUGCCUUAUGCAUUGGUCUUGGUCAGCCACAGGCAGCAUGACAUACUUCAGAUGGUCAGUAAAUUUAAAAUUGGCAUUUCGCCCCCAGCCAGAAACAUAACCCACACGCCCUACUUCUGCAUAAUCCUUUGAAGGUAGGCAGAUGGGCAUCACUCUCUCAUUAACAGACACCUUCUGUUUGAGUUUGAUGAGCCCAAUAUCUACCUGGGAGUAGUUAGGGUGUAGAACAACCUUCUCAAUCUCUACAAGCUGCUUUUUCCCCACAUAGAGUG
rnacentral:lncRNA from 1 species